ensembl:lncRNA novel transcript, antisense to NDUFAF6
GAGGAGAUCUUGAGAAACAGUGGUAAUUUCGCUGUAAUUGUAUGUGUGCCACUCCCCGGCCCUGAAGGGCAUGAGCAAGAAAGACUGAAAGUUGUGAAAUGUACCAGGGAAGACACUGCGGUUCUGUGGUGACGGUGAAAAUGAACGUCUCAAAAGCUGGGUGAUGGCUCAGCUGGACCCAGCAUGUUAGCAACCCGUGUUUGAACAGAAGGAAAUGAAAAAUAAAGUAGAAGGACAAGGGAAGGAAAUUGGGAUCUCUUUUCAUGGAGGCACAGAAUGAAAUGAGGUCUCACCAUAUUGCCCAGGCUGGAGUGCAGUGGCUAUUCACAGGCACGAGCACAGCAUGCUACAGUCUCAAGCCUCCCGAGUAGCUAGGACUACAGAGAAAGGGGCUCACUGUGUCACCCAGGCUGGAAUGCAGUGGCACAAUCACAGCUCCCUGCAGCCUCAAACUCCUGGGAUCAAGCAAUCCUCCCCACUGAGCCUCCGGAGUAGCUGGGACUACAGAGUUAAAGAAGACUUGAAAGAAGGGGAUGUGAGUGGCAGGAAAAUCCCCAGUGACCGGCCCUGAACCUUCUGCCAGCGCAGCUCACCUCCUCCCCAAAUGCCUCCCAAUAGGAUCUCAGCCCUAAACAAGCACAGGGCGUGGGGUGGUACAGAUGAUGAUGUAGCUGCUUCUGAGAUGCCCCUGGGCGCUGCUGGAGCUGAGCCCUGGGACUGGAAUGACUUUUGCCCGCUGCCCUCAAAAUUCCCACAGGCCACACCGCUACCACCUCUUGGGUAAAGUAGGAGGG